rnacentral:rRNA from 1 species
CAGUCGCCACGGUAACACCAGCAGCCCAAGUGGUGGUCGCGAUUAUUGGGCCUAAAGCGCUCGUAGCCGGGCCGGUAAGUCCCUUGUGAAAUCGGACGGCCUAACCGUUCGGCGUGCAAGGGAUACUGUCGGUCUUGAGGCCGGGAGACGUCCGAGGUACUCCGGGGGUAGCGGUGAAAUGUUCUGAUCCUCGGGGGACCACCGGUGGCGAAGGCGUUCGACGAGAACGGGCCUGACGGUGAGGGGCGAAGGCUAGGGGAGCAAACGGGAUUAGAUACCCCAGUAGUCCCUGUCUCUUAUA